CAGAUGUUCCCAACUGCUCCUGGAGGCAACGUGGGCUGCAGAGGUUCUUCUGGGUUUCCCAGAUGUGGAGUCCAUAGCAGAAGACAGAAGCACUCUGAUGCCUCUCCUGCUUCCUGGGCCCCAGAAGUGACACCACCUCGGUUGUCCUGCGCUGCCGGCAGUGCUGUGCCACACCACCAUGGAGCAGCUCCUCCGUGCUGGGGUUUGUGACAUGUACUAACUGCAGCCCCUGAACACAGAGAGGGAAUUUACCUUUGGCUACUGAAGAUGAUUUAUGGGUGAGCAAAUAAUGAACUUGGCAAACAGUGCAUAAUAAAGAGAAAAAUCUUACACUUUUAAUUAGCCAAAAAUAAAUGACUGAGCAUGGGAUUGAAUCCAUUGUCUUUGCAUCUCAAGUUCUUCAUCUUUCUUUGCUAGUCAUGGUCUAAUAAACAUGCUGCAAAAGUUUCAAUUUUCUUUUAAAAUGAAUAGAGAAUUUUGAAAUUCCUUUCCUGAACAGGAAGGCAAGCACCCUUGGGUCACCUCUGGCAUUUCUGUGCUUUAUAUUCAGAUUUGCCACCUCUUGCCAAAUACUUCAGACAUAGCAGCUUUUUCCAGCAGAAGAGCAUUCCAUGCAUUUUCCCACCACCUGCAGGUUUUAUCUGAGCUGCCACGCUCCAACCUCCUCCACGAGACAGCAAACAUCAGCAGAAACAGGCAGGAAUCCUCCCUGGCCCUGAACCCCCAGCCCGGCUGCUCACACAAGGGCUCUCCGGGGGCUUGUUGGCCAAUGGAUAACGGGGUCUGCAGACAUAAUUCCCUGCAAUUGACCCAAGGACACUGCCGUUCUUCGAGUGACCCCGAAUGCCCGCUGCUCUCUGCUGAAGUGCCCUCUGGAGAGGUUGCAAGGGGAUUUUUGGCCAGGGCCAUGCAGGCUGCCACACACCAGCUGGGAUGGGACUGUGGUGUCCCUGAGCUCAGCCCGCAGGUGUGCGCUGGGGCCGGGGUCACUGCGGGCACUUCCAGCAGCACCAGAAUGGCCGAGCACAGCGGCUCUCCUCCUGCUUCGGCAGCUCUGGGAGGAGCAGGUCUGUUAUUGCUGCUCUAAGAAUUAUUAUUCCUCUCAAUAAAAGAUGCAAGUUAAAUGAAUGUGAAACAGCACCCUCCCGAACGCCAGCUGCUGGCAGCCCAGCGCUCUGCUCUCCCUCCAUCAUCUUCUGCUCGCAGACAGGUGAAAUGAGACGGCUGCCUUUGUGGGGAAGUUGUAAAGUAUAAAAUGCUUCAUUUCUUCAUGGAAAUGGAAAUGCAUGUGGCCUCAAACCAGGUAGAGGGCUCUGCCCUCACUGCCCCUGGGACCCAACAGUGAUGGGGCUGAACGUGGAGGGGUCACACCUGGCGGUGCACGGUGGCAAAGUGGAGUGUGCAGUGCCCCCUGCUCCACGCUGCUUGUGUAGGCAGCAGUCAUGGCCAUGAAUGUAGCAGUGGGCAGUUCUGCAUGGCACAGCUGGGCACCUGCAUCCCUGCAGAGAGGCACCCGCAGCUGCUGCUUCUACAGUGAGAGUGCUGAAAGGCACACAGGGCUCCAGCCGUGCCCAGCACCUGGCGGCCUUGGGAUUUGAGGGGCUGGAGGAGACUACAGAGGUUUCGCUGAGUGUGGCUGUGCUGAGCCCCCAUCCUGCUGCAGCAUCGUGGGUGUGGUCAUGCUGGGAUGGAAUGCCUGGAUUCCCCAUUUGGAAUAUGCAAGGUGGAGACAAUAGAGCGAAGUGUAACCACUGUUUACUGAAAAAAAUUGUCAAGGAUUUAUUUAUUGGAAGUGACUGAGGAAUAUGAAUUCUACACUCCAUUUAAAAUGCUUUUUAUUUCCCCCAGCCUUGGGGCUCUGAGUACAUCUAAUUUCACCCAUAGCUAUAAUUCUCCACCAAACAGUUCCUGCUUCUCCUCUGGGUUCCCGAGGAGUCAUUUUGGUUUAUGUCCUCUCCCGAUGCAGUUCGUGCAGUGGCUGGAGACAGUUACACGCCGGUGAACUUUCAGAGCCCUCCCUCCCCGCUGGGUGCACACUCACGCAGCACCAGGCAGCGGUGCGCUCUGCAAACAGCUUGACACCACACUAUAUAUUUAUUUAAAAAAAUAAAACGCUAAAUGUCUUUAUCAUGUAGGGGUUUCUCCUGAGGAGCCGUGUAUUUCACUUUAGACACUUUGAUUGUCCCUACCUUGCAGCUAACAAACUAUUAGUUUUGUUAGUAUAUUUAUUCCACUAAAAUUGGAGCCCGUGAUUACAAAUCCAAUACUGUGAUUGAGUCAGGAUUUGAAAAUAAAUCUGUCCGGGGCUCAUCUGGCAUUUUGGUGCAGCGGAGGCUGGAAGCGCUGCUGCUCUGCCCGGCUCCU
rnacentral:lncRNA from 1 species